rnacentral:rRNA from 1 species
GAUGAACGCUGGCGGCGUGCCUAAUACAUGCAAGUCGAGCGAACAGACGAGGAGCUUGCUCCUCUGACGUUAGCGGCGGACGGGUGAGUAACACGUGGAUAACCUACCUAUAAGACUGGGAUAACUUCGGGAAACCGGAGCUAAUACCGGAUAAUAUAUUGAACCGCAUGGUUCAAUAGUGAAAGACGGUUUUGCUGUCACUUAUAGAUGGAUCCGCGCCUCAUUAGCUAGUUGGCAAGGUAACGGCUUACCAAGGCAACGAUGCUUAGCCGACAUGAGAGGGUGAUCGCCCACACUGGACCAGAGACUCGGUCAAUACUCCUAGGGUGGGCAACAGCGGUGAAUCUUCCGCAAUGAGCGAGAGCGUGACGGAGCAACGCCGCGUGAGUCGUGAAGGUCAUAGGAUCGUUAAACUCUGUGGUUAGGAAGGAAGAAAUGUUUAAAUAACUAUGCACGUCUUGACGGUACCUAAUGAAAAAGCCACAGCUAGCUACGUG